rnacentral:rRNA from 1 species
UACGUAGGGGGCUAGCGUUGUCCGGAAUCAUUGGGCGUAAAGAGCGUGUAGGCGGCCCGGUAAGUCCGCUGUAAAAGUCAAAGGCUCAACCUUUGAAUGUCAGUGGAUACUGCCGGGCUAGAGUCCGGAAGAGGCGAGUGGAACUCCUGGUGUAGCGGUGGAAUGCGCAGAUAUCAGGAAGAACACCAACGGCGAAGGCAGCUCGCUGGGACGUAACUGACGCUGAGACGCGAAAGCGUGGGGAGCAAACAGG